rnacentral:lncRNA from 1 species
UUUUAUUUUUAAUGUUUCCUCGGCAUCGGUGUAAACACCAGUAUCAGUGGCUAUGGCAUCUUUCCGAAAAAAGCGAUCCUGUUUCCAACGUGUCUGGGACGUCAAGGAGACAAGCCAUGGAUACUGAGGUAAUACCCACGUAGGUGAAGAAACCAGAGAAGGUCCGAGAAUCAUUGCGUCAGUCCCGUUGCCAUUGUCUCCGAACAGCGAAUCCCAUAGCAACCGUCUCUGUUCACCGGCCCAACGUCAAGACUACCCAGCCUUUCUGUCAGUCAAAGCGAAGAAGCGACGGAGCUAGGAGCGAAUGCUCCCAGGCCUGCUUUUUAGGUUGACAGGCUGAUGGUAGCUAGCAACCAUGAAAGCCAGGUAUGGCCAAGGAGCAGAAGAAUAUAGACAAUAUAGGCCACAGCUGGAAGGCCCCAGCCGCGGUCACAGCGACAGCUGCGGCCAGAAGCAUCUGACAAUGGCCGACAUCGUCCAGGCUGUGGCCGUGCUGGGCGAACACAACGGCUCCACCUUCGCGACGAUCCGAAAAUUGCUGCAGCGGGAGUGGGAUCCCAGUGUGACGACACGCGAGCUCAAGCAAGCGCUGGUUCGUGCCAUCAGCAGCGGCAAGGUCCAGACUGUCGCGAACCGCAUCUUCUUGAAAACACCCGUCGACUCCAACCUUCGGCGAUGCAGACGAAGCGGCGCGGGGUCACGCAGGCCAUCCAGAUGUUGCGGACGAAGAAGACGGCGGCGGAGGCGGAGGCGUAGGCGUAGGCGGACGAGAAGGCGAAGGCGUAGGCGUCGGAGUAGACGCAGGCUGCGAACUCGUCGCAACAGAAAUAGAAGAAGGUGCAGCUGUUGGUGCCGAAGGUGUGAAAAAUUAAGAAGAAAGAGAAGAAGAAAAAAGAGGAAGAGGAAGCCGUCAAAGCCCGGUCCCCCACCUGAAGCCCCGUCUCCUGAACCCCCAUCUGAAUAAACCAUAACGCACGGUACAGCACCUGUUCAUAUACAAGUCUUCGAACGUACCGCUGUGAUGAACACGUGAUGCUGUGACAAUAAUGCUCUGUACACGAGACGCUGUUACAAAGAGUUCUUAAUGGCCAUGAUCAGCGCCCGCCACCAUCCUCUGUCGGUCCAAACAACAGCAACAACCUUUUUUUUUUUUUUUUGGUCUGUCUCAAUGACACCACUGUAAAUCUCUUCUUGCAUGCUGUGCACGAACCUAAUUCAGUUCAUCCCAAAACUGGCGUCGAGGCAAUUUGUGAGCACCAGUGGUAGGGGAGCUUUGAUGGAUGGAGUGCAGCAGGCCCCGUCAUUCGCCGCCUGAGAAGAUCCCUCAAUGAACAAUCUGUCCGCUUGAAAUGUGAAGAUCUGGUUUUUUUUUUUAAAACCAUUUGAAUAGUUCCUUCGUACAACGCCUGUGCCAUCUUUUAGAUCUGUACAUCAUUUGGGUUCCUUUUGCCUACUUCAAUGAAAAGUGUAACGUUUUUGGCACUGCGGACCACGCGGGUUUCCAUUUUGUGAUCUGCGGACCUGUGCUUGAUGGCUGCCAUGUCUGCGAAAGAGAUCUUGGAUCUACACUUUUAUGUCGACCUCCCCCAGGUGUGUUUUGAGGCUGCUGUCACGUUCCAUUCUUAAGUGCCGUGUUGCCCUAAAACUUCAAGCAUUCAGACGAAUUUUUCUUCAUCUCCCCUUGACUGCGGUAAAACUGAAAUGUUGCUCUGCGCAACGCCGUCAUUUUACUUGUUUAGUUUCUGUACAUCAUACUGAGUUUGACCAUGGUGAGAUUGUGUUGUGAUUAGCAGUCUACAUGGAUAUUGCUGACAGAUUAAUUCUGCCUAAGUGCUUUUCGCUUGCUGCCAGCAGGGAAGUCUGCUGUAGAAGUGCUAAUACUACUACAAGAAUAAUAACGAAGGCUGUAUGAAAUAUAAAUUGAACGGUAUCUAUUUUCUAGAGAAUUUUUUUUUUACAUGUAGUGUAUCAAAUGGCUGAGAAAAAUGAACAAGCAAAAACAUGUUUAACAAAAUCACGAAACGGUGAAACUACGAUUUUUUAAAAUUCCUAUGUCCAUUUUUUUCAAACUUACUGAACUUUUAUAUUUUUUAAAACAACGUAUGAAGCUUGGCAUGGGGAUUCAGGCGUCAUUCACAAAUGUCCCUAUAUAUAUAUAUCCAUGGCGUCAUUAGCUACCCCGAUAAUUCUACAAAUGUCUACUGCUCCCAACAAGUUAACUCGCUGUACUGUGUAAUGUUGCAUCCAUUGAACAUAAAGAUUAGUAUUGCAUAAGAACCAGUCAGACUUUUCUAUGUAUAUCUUAUCAAAGUCAAGUAAUAGUGAAACAGGUUGGCUGCA